rnacentral:rRNA from 1 species
CCUACGGGUGGCAGCAGUGAGGAAUAUUGGUCAAUGGACGAGAGUCUGAACCAGCCAAGUAGCGUGAAGGAUGACUGCCCUAUGGGUUGUAAACUUCUUUUAUAUGGGAAUAAAACAGGGUAUGCAUACCCUCUUGUAUGUACCAUAUGAAUAAGGAUCGGCUAACUCCGUGCCAGCAGCCGCGGUCAUACGGAGGAUCCGAGCGUUAUCCGGAUUUAUUGGGUUUAAAGGGAGCGUAGGUGGAGUGUUAAGUCAGUUGUGAAAGUUUGCGGCUCAACCGUAAAAUUGCAGUUGAAACUGGCAGUCUGGAGUACAGUAGAGGUGGGUGGAAUUCGUGGUGUAGCGGUGAAAUGCGUAGAUAUCACGAAGAACUCCGAUGGCGAAGGCAGCUCACUGGACUGCAACUGACACUGAUGCUCGAAAGUGUGGGUAGCAAACAGGAUUAGAUACCCGAGUAGUC